CAGCAGCCGCGGUAAAACAGAGGGUGCAAGCGUUAAUCGGAUUUACUGGGCGUAAAGGGCGCGUAGGUGGUUAUGUAAGUGAGAUGUGAAAUCCCCGGGCUCAACCUGGGAACUGCAUCUUAUACUGCGUAGCUGGAGUGCAGUAGAGGGUAGUGGAAUUUCCGGUGUAGCGGUGAAAUGCGUAGAUAUCGGAAGGAACACCAGUGGCGAAGGCGGCUACCUGGACUGACACUGACACUGAGGCGCGAAAGCGUGGGGAGCAAACAGGAUUAGAUACCCCCGUAGUCCCUGUCUCUUAUAC
rnacentral:rRNA from 1 species